CCUUGCUCCGGGCUUGAGCUCCUGCACCACGGUGCUGGGACAAUCACACGCACAGGGUCUACCUGCGCAUGAGAGGCAGGAGAGCGCCGUGCCUUGGGGAGCAGGGGGUGGUCCCGGCGUCCCUGUGCCCUCAGAUGCCACCUAAGCUCCAGAGCCUCCAUUUCCUUGUCUGUAAAGCAUGGUCCCCGGAAGCAGGGAGGAUCAGGACCAAAGGCCGCUGUAGGCGAUGAUCAUCCCCAAUCACGGCCCUCGACCGGAGCGCACUUCCCCGCAUCUGGAGCCAUCUGCAUCUGUCUCCUUUGCAGUCUGCCGGUAAUUGGGUCUGAAAUCACACGCGUCCCACUCAGCUACAUUUACAUUUCCUUCUUGCGCUGUUUUUAUAUCCAGAGCUGUUGAAACCACUCCUAGGAUGAAUUUCUAAACUUAGACCAUCUCAUCCUCAAACGGCAAGAAAGAAAGUGUGAUGUGUCUGUGAAUCUGCUGAAUGGGCCGAGGGGUGUUUUUAAAAGAUCAUAUUGCGGGGAAGAAGCAGGCACUGCAGAAACCUAUGGAUUGGGGUGCUAAAACCUACGAGCUUCCCAGGAAGCUGCCUUUUGGGAGCCCGAACUAUCCCAGAACUUUUUCCUAGUAGCAGAUCACAAUCACCGUCUCUUCUGUGAGCCCGCUUCAAGCCAGCAAUGAAAGGACACUUCUGCACGCCAGCAGUAAGAGUAGGAAACCCCACUCUCCCUACAACAUAAGGGCUACACAUUUGAGAUCCUCUCAGAGGACUUUUUAAAAAAAUAACAUCUUUCAUUUAUGCUUGAGCAGGGAGAAGAGUCAUUAAAAAGAAGAGAUUUUUAAAAUCCCUGUCCAAUGCUUUUGGCCAGCCAGCCGCUCAGGACAAAGGGCUGCCUGGUUUGGGGACCUAAUUAUCCGGAGGCCAAGGCGCGGCUGCGGGUGAUGGGGCUGCCGAUUCCGCCGCGAGCACAGUCCGCCUCAUUGUUGGUGAAUUUCCUGCUCUUGGCACUUUCUUUGGCAGCCUCAUGGCCAGCACCUGUGCACUCAGACCUGGGGCCUGGGACGUCUACACAGAUGUCACGGCGCUUUUGUUGAUUUCCUAUUAGUGGCACUUAAUAGGCAGGCGCUGGGGACAGCUUGGCUCGGCUCCGGGGAGGGGCCGCAAACAUCGCUCCCUUGGUGGGCGAAGGGUCAAAUGGUUUCUAAAGCUCGGCCAGAUAAUUGCUGGUGAUUAGCAAUUUUAAUUAGCAGGUGCGAGGGGUCGGGACCCCCUUCCCUGUAAUUGGACAGGUUGUUAACAUUCGUGGAGUUGUGACCAGGGAGUAUAUUUUACUAAUACUCUCCAGCUCUUUUAAAGUUAAUUAAAUUAAAGGAGCUAAAACCACCAGAGACGGCCUGAGAUCUGAUGAGCCAGAUAGGAAAAGUUUUCAGUAAAACUUGUCUCACUGGAAAAAAAAAGAAAAAAAAAAAAAAAACUUCAAACACAGCCAUGAAUCCCUUGUGAACGCCGCGUGGCCCCGUGCGUGUUCUUCUGUGGCUGCGGAAGGCUGGGGCCGUGAACGUGUUUUCUCUGCCGGGUGCCUCACGUUGGGACUCGGCCCGUCGGGGUCCGGCUCUUCUGUUCCGCGCACUGACUCUUAGGGGCUUUGUUCGGUCACAGCGAGCAGAAAACCAGCGUCUCCCCGGUGCAGCCUUGGAAGGGGCUGGACACCCGCUCAUGGCCACAGAGGGCAGCUUCCGGGCGACGCUCCAGCUCUGCCUCUCGGACUCCUCACGGACACAGGCGUGUGUUUGAAACGGAUCGAUGUCCCCCCGGUUCCUUUCACAGACACCAGAAAGCCCGCGAACACACCUCACAGGCUCCGAAGUCUCACUCUGAUCUUGGCUCACUGCAACCUCUGCCUCCUGAGUUCAACUGAUUCUCCUGCCUCAGCCUCACCAGUAGCUGGGAUUACAGAUGCCCAUCACCAUGCCCGGCUAAUUUUGUAUUUUUAAUAGAGACAGGGUUUUGCCAUGUUGGCCAGGCUGGUCUCGAACUCCUGACCUCAAGCGAUCCACCUGCCUCGGCCUCUGGGAUUACAGAUGUGAGCCAUCGCACCUGUGCGUGAAGGUUUUCUAACCUUCUAUCAGAUUUUCUAACCUCCCCAAGCCACAGGAUGAGAAAAGGUGAGUGACACUCUCAGGGACACAGGGCGGGGCAGAGGGCAGGGGCUGGCUGUGCGGCUGGCUCCUGGGGGAUCACACAGCAGUGGGAGGGCCUGGUGCUGUCUAUGGCUGCGGCUGCUGUCUGUACAGUGAACUGGUGAGAACCAUGCAGAUGUGGGGGACACGCCCCUGAGCACAGUCAGUGCUCUGCCCAAAUCCAGAUUUCUUUUCAUCAGUGUUCUAAGGAAAGGAUGCUGAACGUAGCGAUGCUAUUCAGGGACCUGUGGUGCCAGGCGAAGCUCAGUGCUGCACGCGAG
rnacentral:lncRNA from 1 species